rnacentral:sRNA from 1 species
GGUCCCAGCGGGUCAUCUACCUCCAGGGCUCUGCACUCAAAGACCAGGACCUCAUGCGAGCCAAUUUCUCCAGCUCAGGUCCCAGGCCCAGAUGAGCAGGACCCUGCAGCCAGGCCCUUGUCCCUGCACCAUACCCACUG